GACAGAGGGUGCAAACGUUGUUCGGAAUUACUGGGCGUAAAGCGCGUGUAGGCGGCCCUGCAAGUCGGAUGUGAAAUCCCACGGCUCAACCGUGGAAGUGCAUUCGAAACUGCAGGGCUAGAGUCCUGGAGAGGAAGGUGGAAUGCUUGGUGUAGCGGUGAAAUGCGCAGAUAUCAGGAAGAACACCAAUGGCGAAAGCAGCUCUCUGGGACGGUACUGACGCUGAGACGCGAAAGCGUGGGGAGCGAGCAGG
rnacentral:rRNA from 1 species